rnacentral:rRNA from 1 species
AGAGUUUGAUCAUGGCUCAGAGCGAACGUUAGCGGCGGGCUUAACACAUGCAAGUCGAGCGAGAAAAGGGCUUCGGCCCCGAGUAAAGCGGCGGACGGGUGAGUAACACGUAGGUAAUCUUCCCUUGAGCGGGGGACAACGGUCCGAAAGGACCGCUAAUACCGCAUACGUUUCCGAGGAUCCCGGUCCUUGGAAGGAAAGCUAGGUAGCAAUAUCCGGCACUCGAGGAGGAGCCUGCGUCGCAUCAGCUAGUUGGUGGGGUAACGGCCUACCAAGGCGAAGACGCGUAGCUGGUCUGAGAGGAUGAUCAGCCACACUGGGACUGAGACACGGCCCAGACUCCUACGGGAGGCAGCAGUGGGGAAUAUUGGACAAUGGGCGCAAGCCUGAUCCAGCCACGCCGCGUGAGUGAUGAAGGCCUUCGGGUCGUAAAGCUCUGUGGGGAGGGACGAACCGCUGCACGUUCAUAGCGUGCAGCAUGACGGUACCUCCUUAGCAAGCACCGGCUAACUUCGUGCCAGCAGCCGCGGUAAUACGAAGGGUGCAAACGUUGCUCGGAAUCAUUGGGCGUAAAGCGCGCGUAGGCGGCCGCUUAAGUCGGAUGUGAAAGCCCCUCGCUCAACGAGGGAAGUGCACCCGAAACUGGGCAGCUUGAGUACGAAAGAGGGUCGCGGAAUUCCCGGUGUAGAGGUGAAAUUCGUAGAUAUCGGGAGGAACACCGGUGGCGAAGGCGGCGACCUGGGUCGAUACUGACGCUGAGGGCGAAAGCGUGGGGAGCAAACAGGAUUAGAUACCCUAGUAGUCC